UACGUAGGGACCAAGCGUUGUUCGGAUUUACUGGGCGUAAAGCGCGCGUAGGCGGCUUUUCAAGUCGAUUGUGAAAUCCCCGGGCUUAACCUGGGAACUGCAGUCGAGACUGUCUAGCUAGAGUAUGGGAGAGGGAAGUGGAAUUUCAGGUGUAGCGGUGAAAUGCGUAGAUAUCUGAAGGAACAUCAGUGGCGAAAGCGACUUCCUGGACCAAUACUGACGCUCAUGUGCGAAAGCGUGGGGAGCAAACAGG
rnacentral:rRNA from 1 species